UGGCGGACGGGUGAGUAACGCGUGGGUAACCUGCCUUAUACAGGGGGAUAACAACCAGAAAUGGUUGCUAAUACCGCAUAAGCGCACAGGACCGCAUGGUCUGGUGUGAAAAACUCCGGUGGUAUAAGAUGGACCCGCGUUGGAUUAGCUAGUUGGCAGGGUAACGGCCUACCAAGGCGACGAUCCAUAGCCGGCCUGAGAGGGUGAACGGCCACAUUGGGACUGAGACACGGCCCAG
rnacentral:rRNA from 1 species